rnacentral:rRNA from 1 species
CAAUAGCGUAUAUUAAAGUUGUUGCGGUUAAAAAGCUCGUAGUUGGAUUUCUGCUGAGGACGACCGGUCCGCCCUCCGGGUGAGCAUCUGGUUCGGCCUUGGCAUCUUCUUGGUGAACGUAUCUGCACUUGACUGUGUGGUGCGGUACCCAGGACUUUUACUUUGAGGAAAUUAGAGUGUUUCAAGCAGGCAUACGCCUUGAAUACAUUAGCAUGGAAUAAUAAUCUAGGACUUCGGUUCUAUUUUGUUGGUUUCUAGUACUGAAGUAAUGAUUGAUAGGGAUAGUUGGGGGCAUUGCGUAUUUAAAUCUGUCAGAGGUGAAAAUUCUUGGAUUUGAUUAAAGACGGAACUACUGCGAAAGCAUUUGCCAAAGG